GACGAACGCUGGCGGCGUGCCUAAUACAUGCAAGUAGAACGCUGAAGGAGGAGCUUGCUCUUCUGGAUGAGUUGCGAACGGGUGAGUAACGCGUAGGUAACCUGCCUGGUAGCGGGGGAUAACUAUUGGAAACGAUAGCUAAUACCGCAUAAGAGUAGAUGUUGCAUGACAUUUACUUAAAAGGUGCAAUUGCAUCACUACCAGAUGGACCUGCGUUGUAUUAGCUAGUUGGUGGGGUAACGGCUUACCAAGGCGACGAUACAUAGCCGACCUGAGAGGGUGAUCGGCCACACUGGGACUGAGACACGGCCCAGACUCCUACGGGAGGCAGCAGUAGGGAAUCUUCGGCAAUGGACGGAAGUCUGACCGAGCAACGCCGCGUGAGUGAAGAAGGUUGUCGGAUCGGAAAGCUCUGUUGUAAGAGAAGAACGAGUGUGAGAGUGGAAAGUUCACACUGUGACGGUAUCUUACCAGAAAGGGACGGCUAACUACGUG
rnacentral:rRNA from 1 species